AGCCGAGAAGACGAGACCACCAGAAAAUGCCGGAGAGCCCAGACAGAGUGAAGACUUGCCAGCCCUGCCUGCUGUGUACCUGAACAAGAUGCUUUCAAGAGGGGAUGCCCAACAGGGAAGGAAUGAAUCCAGACAAUCACAGAUUUUCUUCAAAGAUGGUUUCUCACCUUGACGACACUCCUCAAGAAAG